UCCGGAGGGAGCUAGCGUUGUUCGGAAUUACUGGGCGUAAAGCGCACGUAGGCGGCCGUUCAAGUCAGAGGUGAAAGCCCGGGGCUCAACCCCGGAAUAGCCUUUGAAACUAGAUGGCUUGAAUCUUGGAGAGGUCAGUGGAAUUCCGAGUGUAGAGGUGAAAUUCGUAGAUAUUCGGAAGAACACCAGUGGCGAAGGCGACUGACUGGACAAGUAUUGACGCUGAGGUGCGAAAGCGUGGGGAGAGAACAGG
rnacentral:rRNA from 1 species